rnacentral:misc_RNA from 1 species
GAUGAAGAACGUAGCGAAAUGCGAUAAGUAAUGUGAAUUGCAGAAUUCAGUGAAUCAUCGAAUCUUUGAACGCACAUUGCGUCCCUUGGUAUUCCGAGGGGCAUGCCUGUUCGAGCGUCAUUAUAACCCCUCAAGCUCAGCUUGGUGUUGGGGCCUGCCGCACGGGCAGCCCUUAAAAUCAGUGGCGGUGCCAUCUGGCUCUAAGCGUAGUAAUUCUUCUCGCUAUAGAGUUCCGGUGGAUGCUUGCCAUUAACCCCCAAUUUUCUAUGGUUGACCUCGGAUCAGGUAGGGAUACCCGCUGAACUUAAGCAUAUCAAUAAGCGGAGGA